GGUUCACGAGGCCCAGUAGGUCCUCCAGGCCGUGCUGGAAAACGAGGUUUGCCCGGUCCCCAAGGUCCUCGCGGCGACAAAGGUGACAAUGGUGAUCGAGGGGACAGGGGACAGAAAGGUCAUCGAGGUUUCACUGGCCUGCAAGGUCUCCCUGGACCUCCUGGACCUACUGGUGAACAAGGCAGUGCUGGGAUUCCAGGCCCAUUUGGCCCAAGAG